GACGAACGCUGGCGGCGUGCCUAACACAUGCAAGUGGAGCGACGAACCAGGCUUCGGCCUGGGGCAAGGCCGCGAACGGGUGAGUAACACGUGGGUAACCUGCCCUGAUGAUUGGGACAACCCGAGGAAACUCGGGCUAAUACCGAAUGUGCCCUCCGGCCUCAAGGCCGCUGGGGAAAGGAAGCUUCGGCCUCCGCAUCGGGAUGGGCCCGCGGCCCAUUAGCUUGUUGGUGAGGUAACGGCUCACCAAGGCGACGAUGGGUAGCUGGUCUGAGAGGACGAUCAGCCACACUGGGACUGAGACACGGCCCAGACUCCUACGGGAGGCAGCAGUGGGGAAUCUUGCGCAAUGCGCGAAAGCGUGACGCAGCAACGCCGCGU
rnacentral:rRNA from 1 species